UCGCUACUACCGAUUGAACGGCUUAGUGAGUCCUACGGACCGGUGCUCGUGUUGGUUUUCCAGUGCGACGCAUUGUGGAAGUAGUGCUAACUUGAUCGUUUAGAGGAAGUAA
rnacentral:rRNA from 1 species